UGCAUUUGAACUCCUAUGACUGGUUGCGGACUUGAAGGGAACGUCUUCCUGACAUCCAGGAAAAAGGUGAGAUUAUAAUACAUUUGAAUGCCAAAAGCAAGUUAUUGUUUUUAACUUUUUAAAUAUGAUUGUUUUGGGGCAUUUCAGUUUUAUUGGACAGAGGCAGUAGAUAUCUACUGGAAACAGUGGAGAGGGAGGAGAUGAUAUGCAGCAUACGGCCCAGCCGGAUGGUUGCUGCUCCGUGUGGAACGUGUUCUAUCAGGUGUAACAUCUACCAAUGGUUGUACAUGACAGAGACCUCCUCCACCUCUUUGCUGUCUUACUAGUCAAUCCUUCUGAUCAGGUCCUUUCCUAAAUAGUGAAAGGAUCAUGCCAGCCCACAUCAAACACCUGAUCAAGAACUUGUGAACCUCACUGCUGCGGACACCUGUGUGAUAUUCGACUCUGACUGGA